CCUUCAGGCUGCAGCACGACAGCUACGAGUGCUGGAGCAGCCCUGAGCCCCCGGAGCCAACCCUUUACUGUGCAUCCUGCUCCUCCGAUGAGGAGGUGGCAGCAGCACUGCCUCCUGUAUGGACCAGGCCUCUCCCAGGCUUGCAUUCCCCCAUACUACCAGAGGAGGAAUCUGAGGAUGGGGAGUGGCCUGAGACUCCUCCACUACCAUCAACGCCUGUAGAAGAGGUAGACC